GACGGCGUGGUGUAAUGGCUAACACAUCAGUCCGAUCUAGGUCUACUGAAGAUGCUGGUUCGCUCCCAGCCGCCUAUU